AUUGAACGCUGGCGGCAGGCCUAACACAUGCAAGUCGAGCGGGGGAAGGUAGCUUGCUACCGGACCGAGCGGCGGACGGGUGAGUAAUGCUUAGGAAUCUGCCUAUUAGUGGGGGACAACAUCUCGAAAGGGAUGCUAAUACCGCAUACGUCCCACGGGAGAAAGCAGGGGAUCUUCGGACCUUGCGCUAAUAGAUGAGCCUAAGUCGGAUUAGCUAGUUGGUGGGGUAAAGGCCUGCCAAGGCGACGAUCUGUAGCGGGUCUGAGAGGAUGAUCCGCCACACUGGGACUGAGACACGGCCCAGACUCCUACGGGAGGCAGCAGUGGGGAAUAUUGGACAAUGGGGGGAACCCUGAUCCAGCCAUGCCGCGUGUGUGAAGAAGGCCUUAUGGUUGUAAAGCACUUUAAGCGAGGAGGAGGCUACUCUAGUUAAUACCUAGGGAUAGUGGACGUUACUCGCAGAAUAAGCACCGGCUAACUCUGUGCCAGCAGCCGCGGUAA
rnacentral:rRNA from 1 species